rnacentral:snoRNA from 1 species
UUGCAUGCCAAAAUAUCUGCUCCUCAUUGCUUUAGGAGCAGGAAUACAUCAGAGUUCUUGGGCUCCCAACCCUUUCGGAGAGGUUGAGUUGUAGUAUAUAUGUCCUAUAUUA